GCAAUUUAUAAAUAAAUAAAAAUUGUUUAAAUCAAUUCAUAACUGAGAGGAGUCAAAUAUCGUUACAUUGGAUGAUGACAAUCAAUCCAUAUGAAAACCUGUUCCUGCCUUCCCUAUCAAUCCAAAUCAAUCCAUCGAUGAUAAAUAAAUGGAGAGAGAAGAAAAAUGAAGAGAGGAAAAAGAGAAAGAGAAAAAGAAGGAAGAACUGAAUUACGAUUCCGUCAUUAAUUAAUAAGACGUUAUCCGUCGUCUAGCUAGCUAGAGAGAGCAGAUUCCCCUUCUUUUGCGUCUUCAGUAUUCGAUGAGAUUUCAGUUAUUUGCUACAAAAAAUUAUGGAGGAUAUGCAAUAGUUAUCACUUAUCAGUCACUAAUUGUAUUAGUGCAAAUUUACGGAUAAUUGAAGAUGACGCCAUCUUGGGGGCACACAAUUGAUAUUUUACUAAAUAAAACGGACACAUUUCCAAUAAAUCUUGAUGAAACUUCAUCCAACGCUUUAAAAAUAUAAAAAACUUAAUAACUGCAAUGAAUACUAAUUGAUGCCCUUGAUAUACAGUGACAUUUGAAUUUAAUCAAAGAAUAGAAUUGUGUCAGUCCUUAUUUAUUCGGUCCAGUUUAGUCUUAGGACCGUUCCUUAAAAGACUGUAGAAAAUUGAGGGACGUCAUCAAGGACCGAACAUUAUAAGUUAUAGCCAGGACUGAACUGGACGGGACUUCAGUACUAAAUUACCAACACAACACUAAUUAGGGUUGUUGGAACCGUGGUUAAAGAGCGAAUUUGAUUGGCUAAAAGAGAUUAUAUAAAAGAAAAGGAAAAAAACUGUAGGUACCCUUGGAUUUUCUAAACAACUUCUACUCAGUAUUGUACUGAUCUUCAACAAAGCACAUUCCUUUGCUGUUCUCACGUGCAUCAUAUUGAAGAAAACGUGCUUUUUGUCGUGGGUCUCUAAAAAAGGAGGUAAUGAAAUGUGGAAAGAGUAUGUUUUGCUCUUUUUGCAGUUUCUUGUGCCCACCUCCUUAUUUAUGGGAAGUAAUCUACCACUCUAAAAACCCCCAUCACAUCAACAACUUCAAGAAGUCUUCAAGAAACACAAGAUUCCAGAAGACGAAGGAGAAUUAAACGGCACAUCAUUCAAUUUGGAUAUAGCAAAGUGUGUCGUGAAACAUCCCUUUAAAUGUUUCGAAUCAUCCCAAUUUGUCCAAGUUUAUUGAAAAAUAUACUGGAAAAACUACUCUGGAUCAAUAGAUCGCUUACAACUUGGUUGGGAAAGUAUGCCAAGGAGUUUUGAGUAGAAUAAAAUCAUAGCUUAAGAUUCUAGUAUCGACCAAGGUUAAUAGAAAUAUUAUGAAUAUGUUAUGUAUAUUAGAAUAUGUAUUUCCAUUAUCCUUGAUAUUGACUAAUGUCAAACAUACAAAUUUUCUUUUAUUUAUUAAAAGUUUGAACUUGUCCAAGGAUCAAUACAAUUUAUGUAAAAUGUUAAUAUAAAAUAGAAAAAAACAAUGCUUUAAGAAUUCAAUUUAAAUAUUUAUUUGAUUUAUCAAUAAAGGAUCCUUUUCUCAUCUCAAAAAUAAUGUUAUGUUUCCUUGUUAUCUUAGGUUCAAUAUUGAAUUAUACUGA
rnacentral:lncRNA from 1 species